AGGCUGACGCCUUGCCCCGCCGACUGACGUCGGCAGCACCCCAGGCAGCCAAGAUCUUCAAGGCUGCGGCGCGAUCCGUCGCGCUGGUCGUUGUCCUGCUCGACGCCUCGGCGCGUCACUUCCUCAACCCUCAAGGGAUUUCCUCCCUUGCAGGGC
rfam:Thauera sp. MZ1T, complete genome.